CCUACGGGAGGCAGCAGUGAGGAAUAUUGGUCAAUGGGCGGAAGCCUGAACCAGCCAAGUAGCGUGCAGGAUGACGGCCCUACGGGUUGUAAACUGCUUUUAUACGGGACUAACGCGCCUUACGUGUAGGGCUUUGCAUGUACCGUAUGAAUAAGGACCGGCUAAUUCCGUGCCCGCAGCCGCGGUCAUACGGAAGGUCCGGGCGUUAUCCGGAUUUAUUGGGUUUAACGGGAGCGUAGGCCGCAUGUCCAGCUUGCUGUGAAAUGUCCGGGCUCAACCCGGGCCUUGCAGCGCGAACUGGCGUGCUUGAGUCCGCGGAAAGCAGGCGGAAUUCGUCGUGUAGCGGUGAAAUGCUUAGAUAUGACGAAGAACCCCGAUUGCGAAGGCAGCUUGCUGCAGCGGAACUGACGCUGAUGCUCGAAAGCGCGGGUAUCGAACAGGAGUAGAUACCCUGGUAGUC
rnacentral:rRNA from 1 species